UGUGUGUGGCGUUGGCGGUCUUGGCAUGGGGCUUCCUCUGGGUUUGGGACUCCUCAGAACGAAUGAAGAGUCGGGAGCAGGGAGGACGGCUGGGAGCCGAAAGCCGGACCCUGCUGGUCAUAGCGCACCCUGACGAUGAAGCCAUGUUUUUUGCUCCCACAGUGCUAGGCUUGGCCCGCCUAAGGCACUGGGUGUACCUGCUUUGCUUCUCUGCAGUUUUCCGUAGGGAGCUAAGUGAAUACACCGAAGGUCUUACCUCUGAACCCCUCACAGCCUAGGGACAGGAGCGGCCGGCUUACCUGGUGGGUUGGGGGACGUCGGCAGCUCGCGUACUACGCCAGCAGGAUUGAGGAGCAGAGAAACAGUUGCAGUUGGUUGUAUUCAGUACCUGCAUUUCCGUUGGGAACUCCACCUGUACUUGUUAUUCUGUGGAACUUUUUUUUAUUUGUAGAAGGAGCAAGAAUAUUGACCUUACUAUAUAGCACACGAAACAAUCUAUGCUGUAUCGUGCCUGCUCAAUCCUUAAAGUUAACUUCUAAUGAUAGUAAAAGACCUUCCUGCUGCCUUUAAAAUGCAGCUUGUGCUAGUAACAUGCAUGUGUCAAAUUGAAGAAUUAGACAUAGAUGACUAGAUAGAAAGUAAUUUUGUAGGUAAUUUUAGAGUUCAACUCCACCCAGCUUUCAGUGAAGGAACCUUUCAAAUAAUAGAUUUUUGCUUACCAUAGAGAAAAGAUCAAAUGACAAAGCAAAUAUUGACCAUUAAGCUGGAAUAUGGUGAUAAUUGAACAGUUGUAUAAAUGAAGUAAUUGAAUUGUACACAUACAAUGGGUGAAUUUUAUGGCAUGUCAAAGUAUACCUCAAUAAAGCUAUUUUUUUAAAUUGCCCAUGA
rnacentral:lncRNA from 10 species